rnacentral:misc_RNA from 1 species
GUUUAUUAUAUUUAAAAAAAUUAAAAAAAAGAUAAAAGAGAUGAUAUAAGCAACGGCAGAAGAUGCUCCACGUGUCAAACAAAUAAAUGGGUGUUCCUGGACGAUAAAACAAAGAUACUCCGCGGUUCUUCUAAAGGAAAAUUCUUCUCCACGUGCCACGUGUUCUUCGUGAGAAUAUUCCUUCCAAUGAAUGAAACGUGAUUAACAGAAACAUGACCACCGACGUUAACGGGGACGGCUGAUCUUGAAAAAUUCUCGGGGGCUCUUCAUCCAAGCAGGCAAUUCACAGGGCUCGUUUUAUUGACGGUGAUUAACAGCUGGGUUAGGUGUGUUAUUAUAACUAUUUUUGGGGUCUUUAGGUUCCAGACGGCAAUCACGCAGAGCACGUGCACCGACGCAUUUUUAUGGUGGACCCCCAAGGAAAUAGCAAUGCCCACACCCGGUAGUACCACGACCGGCAGAUCAAACGGUCGCGUGCCUCGCGAACCUUGCCUUUCAUGAUCACCCCCAUUGAUUGACAGCUUUCUCUUCCUUCUUCCUCUUCACCUCCUCAACGUCUCUGCUAUUUU